rnacentral:rRNA from 1 species
CUUGGUCAUUUAGAGGAAGUAAAAGUCGUAACAAGGUUUCCGUAGGUGAACCUGCGGAAGGAUCAUUACCGUGGGGCUUCGGCCCCAUUGAGAUAGCACCCUUUGUUUAUGAGUACCCUUGUUUCCUCGGCGGGCUUGCCCGCCAUGAGGACAAUAAAAACCCUUUGCAGUAGCAGUAACUUCAGUUAAUAAUAAAUAUUAAAACUUUCAACAACGGAUCUCUUGGUUCUGGCAUCGAUGAAGAACGCAGCGAAAUGCGAUAAGUAGUGUGAAUUGCAGAAUUCAGUGAAUCAUCGAAUCUUUGAACGCACAUUGCGCCCUUCGGUAUUCCGUUGGGCAUGCCUGUUCGAGCGUCAUUUAAACCUUCAAGCUAUGCUUGGUGUUGGGUGUUUGUUCCGCCUCAGCGCGUGGACUCACCUCAAAUUCAUUGGCAGCCGGUAUGUUGGCUUCGUGCGCAGCACAUUGCAAGCGAUCUCAGCAGACCCCCUUCCAUAAGCCCUUUUUUUACUUUGACCUCGGAUCAGGUAGGGAUACCCGCUGAACUUAGGCAUAUCAAUAAGCGGAGGA